rnacentral:lncRNA from 1 species
AUGAGAAAGCAGAAAAUGCAGGUCAAACACCGCCUCCCCCGAGGCCCGGAGGGGCCGGCGGCUCGGGGCGGACAGCGGCGGCGGGGGCAGGCAGCGGCGGCCCGGAGGAGGCUGCCCCGAGACGGACAACGAUCCCCGAACUUCCCCCCCCCGCCUCCCCUCGGGACAAUAAGGGGGGAAAAGGGGGAGCGGAGGAAACCAGCCUACGGCGGGGCUUCCCCGGCCAUCACUCCACCGACAAAGCCCCGCGGCCAGGCCCGUCCUCAGCCCCGGCCCCGCACCGGCUUGCCACCACCGGCUCCAGCUCGGCCACCGCGGGCGGGAGCGCACCACCGGAACCGCCAUGAUGGCCCGCACCACUAUGCCUUGCCGGGCCGGGCCGGGCCUCCCCCGCCGGGUCGGGUCGAGCCGAGCGUCCCGGGGCCGCUGCCCCUCCGCGGCGGCGGGGCCCCGCCGCCCAGGCCCCCGAGGCAUGGUAGGGCGGAGCGCCGGGCCGCGGCCCGCGCCAGGAGCCCCCCAGAGCCGCCUCAGCGUUCCCUCCCGCCAGCCCCACCACCGGGCACAGCCGGUCCCCGCACGCACGCAUGCACACCCGCCCGCCCGCCUGCGCCUACCUGGCCGGCCCGUUCCCCGGGCCCCCGCGCGGCACUAGGCCCGGCUCAGCGCCACGGCGUCUCCUGGGCAGCCGGCGGGAGCAAGCCCUCGGCGGCGGCGCCAGCCCCUCCCCCUGGCAGCAGUAGCGGCGGCUUCUCCUCAGGCCGGGCGGAAACGGCACUGGGCGCACGGGGAUCCCCGGCGCCGGCGCCAGGGGCGCCCCGGACACGCCCACUCCCGCUCCCCGUUGGCUGCCACGCCGCUGCACCCCGCCCCACCGGGACGCCCGCCGCCACCACCGCCCCGCCCACCGACGCUUCCCAUUGGUGGCCUCGCCGCCCGGCCCCGCCCUCUCUCCCGCCUCAUUGGGAGCCGCGCCCCCGCCCCGCCGCUCGCCCCACGGUGGUGGUGUCCUAUUGGUGCGCGGGGCUGCCAGUCAUCCGGCAGGCGGCCGCCAGCGCCGAGGCGGUGAGGGCGGGCGGGCUGCGGCAGCGCCGGCCGGCCGAGCCGCGCUACGUGCUGAGGGGCGGGGCUGGCGGCCGCCCCCGCCGAGGCGCCCGCUCUCCGCGGGGUAACUCCCGCGUCGGGACACGUGGCAGAAAGAAGGGGCGGUGCGGGCGGCCGGGAUUCCUGGGCGGCAGCCGCCGCUGCGCCGCGCAUGCGCGUGUCCGGCAGGGUGGGGGGUAUGUCUCUGUGUGUGUGUGA